rnacentral:lncRNA from 1 species
UUUCUUUCUUUAGGUGACUAGCCACUUUAAAUGCAGUAAGAAAAGGAAUAGUACAGAAUGGAUGACCUCUAUCACAAUAAAGAAUGAUUGGCAAGGCAAGGUCAGAUAGCAGAAAUGGGGAGAAUGUGCCCGUUAAAAGCAUAUCACCAAAUACAGAUGGCCUGAAAGCAUCAUCUGGGAAUCACCUCCUUUUUCCAAAAGCAAUCUUCAAUACCAAGAACCUUUAAGGUAUCAAAGGAAAGUGCUUUCACCACAUUAUACAGUCAAGAACUCUUCAGAUAUUGUUUCUGCCUUGCAUCUUUAAUCCUUUCUCUAAUUUUAGUUACUUCUAAUGGGUGAAUCAUAAAGUUUGUCAAAAUACGCUGUUCUAAAAAAGUUUUUCUAGCAAAAC